AUUGAACGCUGGCGGCAUGCCUUACACAUGCAAGUCGAACGGCAGCACGGGGCAACCUGGUGGCGAGUGGCGAACGGGUGAGUAAUGCAUCGGAACGUGCCAUUGAGUGGGGGAUAACGUAGCGAAAGUUGCGCUAAUACCGCAUAUUCUGUGAGCAGGAAAGCAGGGGACCGCAAGGCCUUGCGCUCUUUGAGCGGCCGAUGUCAGAUUAGCUAGUUGGUGAGGUAACGGCUUACCAAGGCGACGAUCUGUAGCGGGUCUGAGAGGAUGAUCCGCCACACUGGAACUGAGACACGGUCCAGACUCCUACGGGAGGCAGCAGUGGGGAAUUUUGGGACAAUGGGCGCAAGCCUGAUCCAGCCAUGCCGCGUGAGUGAAGAAGGCCUUC
rnacentral:rRNA from 1 species